rnacentral:rRNA from 1 species
AGUGAACGCUGGCGGUAGGCCUAACACAUGCAAGUCGAACGGCAGCACAGUAAGAGCUUGCUCUUACGGGUGGCGAGUGGCGGACGGGUGAGGAAUACAUCGGAAUCUACUUUUUCGUGGGGGAUAACGUAGGGAAACUUACGCUAAUACCGCAUACGACCUACGGGUGAAAGCAGGGGAUCUUCGGACCUUGCGCGAUUGAAUGAGCCGAUGUCGGAUUAGCUAGUUGGCGGGGUAAAGGCCCACCAAGGCGACGAUCCGUAGCUGGUCUGAGAGGAUCAACAGCCAGACUGGAACUGAGACACGGUCCAGACUCCUAGGGGAGGACGCAGUGGGGAAUAUUGGACAAUGGGGGCAAGCCUGAUCCAGCCAUACCGCGUGAGUGAAGAAGGCCUUCGGGUUGUAAAGCGAUGUUGUUGGGAAAGAAAAGCAGCAGGUUAAUCCCCCGCUGUUCUGACGGUACCCAAAGAAUAAGCACCGGCUAACUUCGUG